rnacentral:misc_RNA from 1 species
UCAGUUGCCUGAACAGCACCGGCCUCCCGUCGCGGUAGUACGUCAGGAGCACGUCGCCGUCGCGCACCAGCCCGGCGCUCCGCGGGUCCGCCUGGAUGAAGUACCCGCAGAGCGCCGGCUCCGGCGCCGGGGCGGCGCUCUGGCGCAGCGUCAGGAAGCCCUGCCCGUCGAGGUUCCAGGUGAUCGCCUCUCGCCCGCCGACCGACGCCCGCUUCGCCGGCGCCGCGACGGGGACCGUCGGGGCGGGAAACAGCACGGUCUUGUCCGGGUGAAACGCGAC